AUGGUAGAUUAUGCUGGUGCAGCACAGGGGGAGGUGGGGGAAGAGGUCCCAUGGGGCCCUGAGAUGGGGAACAGUGGUGGCUUCCAGGGAGGCUCUGGCAGUAGCAUCCAGGGCCAGGGUUGCAGCCAUGCAAGGCAAAGCAAAGACAAGGAGUGGAUGCCCUUCACCAAGCUAGGCCGCCUGGUCAAGGACAUGAAGAUGAAGUCCCUGGAAGAGAUCUAUCUCUUCUCCCUGCCCAUCAAGGAGUCUGAGAUCAUUGGCUUUUUCCUGGGGACCUCUCUUAAGGAUGAGGUUUUGAAUACUAUGCCGGUGCAGAAGCAGACCCAUGCAGGCCAGCACACCAGGUUCAAGGCAUUUGUUGCCAUUGGGUACUACAAUGGCCACAUUGGUCUGGGUGUUAAGUGUUCCAAGGUAGUGGUCACUGCUAUCUGCAGAGCCAUGAUCCUGGCCAAGCUCUCCAUUGUCCCCAUGAGUAGAGGCUACUGGGGUAACAAGUUUGGAAAGCCCCAUACCAUCCCUUGCAAGAUGACAGGCCACUGCAGCUCUGUGCUGGUGACCUCAUCCCUGUGCCCUGGGGCACUGGCAUUGUCUCAGCCCCUGUACUCAUGAAACUGACGAUGAUGGCUGGUAUCAAUGACUGCCACAGCUCAGCCAAGGGCUACACUGCCACCCUGGGCAACUUCAGCCAGGUCAUCCUUGAUGCCAUCUCUAAGACCUACAGCUACUUGACUCCCAGUCUCUGGAAGGAGACUGUAUUCACCAAGUCUCCCUAAAAAUAAUUCGCUGACCACCUCGUCAAGACCCACACCAGAGUCUCUGUGCAGAGGACCCAAGCUCCAGCUGUGGCUAUAACAUAGGGUUUUUAUACAAGAAAAAUAAAGUGAAUAAAGCCUGAAA